AUGAAACUAACUAAGUUACCUACCCUAAAGUCUAGAAACAGUGGAAAAAGGGUAAAACUACUUACCCAUUGAAACGCAAGAUUGGUGGAAUGGUUCAGCAGCUCUUGACUCCAUGAAUGAUUUGGCGGUAUCAAUUUAGAAAUUUAACGGUUCAAUUUGCUGUAAUAUUAGAGAGAAGGUGGAGGAAACUUGGUUAGGGCAAAGUUCCUAUUCUAGAGAGAGAAGGGAAAUAUGCAGAAUGGGAAACUGGUUUUCUGAAAAGUAAAGCCCCUUCCCUCUAAGGCUGAAUCACCACAAGUUUAUGGGCCUGACUGCCCCUUUUCUAAGGCCCAAUAGCCCUUAGAAAUUAUAGGCCCUUACAUUCCCCCCAACAAAUAAAAUUUUCGGCCUCGAAAAUUGUACUUAUCCAAGAAUAUGCGAGGGUAAGAUUCUCUCAUCUCAUUCUCUAGCUCCCAGGUAGAGUCAUCUGUUUUACCCUCCCAGAUCACCUUGACUAAUCGGAUAGUUUUCACCCUAAACUAUUUAUUUUGACUCUCUUCAAUUCUAACAGGCUGCACCUAUUAUUUUCUUCUACAACCUUUCCAUGUUUUUGAACCCAAUUAAAUUCUAAUAACCAUUUUCCCUUUUCCAUUAAAUUUCUAAGUUUCUUCUAUCUUUAUAUAAAGGAAUACCAAAAGAAAUCACCUGAACAAUUUAACUAAAAACAUACCAUACUUCCUUGUAAGGUAUUUAUUACCUCAUGAUAAAAAUUACUUAAUAACAAUAUUAUAUUUUACAUUGCUACCUAUUAUAAUAAUACUUUACAAGCAUUAACUACAUAAUAAUAAAAAUAUUAUUAUUUGAUAACAUUAAUAUACAUUUUAAGAUACCCAACAANAUAUAUUGGACUUUGUCUUUGCAUAAAGAAUGGCUAAAUAAAAGUUACGUAAACCUAUUAAAACAAAAGACAAAACCAAUCUUUAUUCAUUCUAAAUUAACAAUACAACCUCUGAUUCAUUAUUUUCUCUCAAAGUUUUACACCAAUCAAAGAAUUUUAAAUAAUUUCAUAAUUNCUUUUCUUUUAGCUAACAUGGGACCCAUUCUCACUUACCAUUUUCUCUCACCCUUUUCUUAAAUUUUCACCUAAAGCAACUGUAACACAUGCAGUGGGGGUAGAAGAGUCUAAUGAAAAUACAACUCAACAGGGAAUAAGGAGGGGCACAAGAAACAGACUAACUAAUUCCAGGCUGGAUGACUUUUAUUGGUCUAGGACCUAAUCCAUAUAAUUCGUUAGUGAAUGGAAAAAAGGGUGUGAAUUCUAUUGUCCUAUGCUACAUCCUUUAUGUGCAAAUUCUCUGUUUUGGAUUUACUUGUAAUUGCUCUGACAUAUG
rnacentral:lncRNA from 1 species